AGGGCCAAGCAACUUCCGAAGAGCUUUCUUCUGCUAUCCUGUUAAUGUGCUGUGUGUCUUCAUGUGCUGAUAGUCUGUAAAAACAGGAUCCAUUAGGAAUUUUUAGCACUUUGAGAUACAACAAUGGUGGCACAUAUGCUGUUCAGGUGGAUUCUAAAAGGGCUUAUUCUGUCUUUUCUGCUCAAAACUACCCUGUCCCUAAACCCAGAUGAUCCAAAUGUUUGUAGUCAUUGGGAAAGCUACGCUGUGACAGUACAGGAAUCUUAUGCUCAUCCUUUUGAUCAGAUCUAUUAUACAAGAUGUACUGACAUACUGAACUGGUUCAAGUGCACUAGACAUAGAAUAAGUUAUAAAACAGCAUAUCGAAGAGGACUAAGAACUAUGUAUCGGCGAAGAUCUCAGUGCUGCCCUGGAUAUUACGAAAGUGGAGACUACUGUAUACGUAUGUACAGA